rnacentral:rRNA from 1 species
AAUGAACGCUGGCGGCGUGGAUUAGGCAUGCAAGUCGAGCGGUAGUCUCAUUAAAAAAUACCUUCGGGUAUUUUCGAGGCUACAGCGGCGCAAGGGUGAGUAACACGUGAAUAAUUUACCCUCGAGUUUAGGAUAACCUGCCGAAAGGAAGGCUAAUACUAGAUAAGACCACGAAUGGACAUCCAUAUGAGGUAAAAGAUAGCCUAGUCUUGAGUAAUCGAGAUGCUAUCACUUGAGGAGAAGUUCGCGUCCUAUCAGCUUGUUGGUGAGGUAAUGGCUCACCAAGGCAAUUGACGGGUAGCUGGUCUGAGAGGACGGUCAGCCACACUGGGACUGAGACACUGCCCAGACUCCUACGGGAGGCUGCAGUCGAGAAUCUUUGGCAAUGGGUGAAAGCCUGACCAUGCGACGCCGCGUGAGGGAUGAAGGUCUUCGGACUGUAAACCUCUGUCACAGGGGAGGAAAAGUAAUGAAGUGAAUAGUUUCAUUAUUUGACAGUACCCUGAGAGGAAGCCACGGCUAACUCCGUGCCAGCAGCCGCGGUAAUACGGAGGUGGCAAGCGUUAUUCGGAAUUACUGGGUGUAAAGAGCGUGUAGGCAUUUUAGUAAGUCAAUGGUGAAAUCCCUCGGCUUAACCGAGGAACUGCCUUUGAAACUAUUAAAAUUGAGUUUGGGAGGGGAGAGCGGAAUUUCCGGUGUAAGGGUGAAAUCUGUAGAUAUCGGAAGGAACACCUGUAGCGAAGGCGGCUCUCUGGUCCAAAACUGACGCUGAGACGCGAAAGCUAGGGGAGCAAACAGGAUUAGAUACCCUGGUAGUCCUAGCCGUAAACGAUGGGCACUAGGUGUCGGCUGGUAAACAGUCGGUGCUUCAGUUAACACAUUAAGUGCCCCACCUGGGGAGUACGUCGGCAACGAUGAAACUCAAAGGAAUUGACGGGGGCCCGCACAAGCGGUGGAGCAUGUGGUUUAAUUCGAUGCUACGCGAAGAACCUUACCAGGGCUUGACAUGCAGGAAGUAGAAGCCCGAAAGGGUAACUACCCGUUAAGUCGGGAACCUGCACAGGUGCUGCAUGGCUGUCGUCAGCUCGUGUCGUGAGAUGUUGGGUUAAGUCCCGCAACGAGCGCAACCCUUAUCCUUAAUUGCCAUCAGGUUAAGCUGGGCACUUUAAGGGAACUGCCAGUGAUAAACUGGAGGAAGGUGAGGAUGACGUCAAGUCAGUAUGGCCCUUAUGUCCUGGGCGACACACGUGCUACAAUGGCUGGUACAAAGGGAAGCAAUCCCGUCGAGGAGGAGCAAAUCCCAAAAAGCCAGCCCCAGUUCGGAUUGGAGGCUGCAACUCGCCUCCAUGAAGUCGGAAUCGCUAGUAAUGGCAGGUCAGCCAUACUGCCGUGAAUACGUUCCCGGGCCUUGUACACACCGCCCGUCAAGUCAUCCGAGUUGGAUACACCCGAAGCCACUGACUUAAUCCCGAAUUUUCGGGAAGAGAUGUGUCGAAGGUGUGUUUGAUAAGGAGGACU